rnacentral:lncRNA from 1 species
UAAGUGUUAUGUUACAUCAUUCGGAGCCUUGAAAACCACAGUUUAGGUUUUCCUAUAAGUUCCUAAGUAAAGAAAAUGCCCUGGCAAAAUGAUCCAAGAGUUAGCUACAUUCUCAUUUGAAAGACUGGAAGAAAAGUGAAAUCAGGAACCAUCUGAGGUUGAGACCACAUCUUUUGUAGGAAGUAUGAGGCUUUUCUGCCUUUUUCCUUCCAUCAAUCCUUCUAGCAGUGGGGAAAACAGAAAACAAGACGACAACAAAAGAGAGGACUACUUCACAGUUGGCUUCAGACCAGUCCUGCCCCAGACUCAGGGCUCCAUUCUCAAAUUAAUGGUCUGCCCACAUGCUUCAUUCUUUACAAAUUCCCCAAAUUCACUUAACACAGUUAAAAAUCUCCAGCUGAGUUUCCAUCAGCACUCUCUGUGGAAGGAUACCAAAUGAAAGUGAAACUGUGCAUGUCUGGCCCCAUGAAGGGUGAAAUAUUCAGAAAACGUAUUGGACAUUUCAAAUACCUUCCAUUUUCUGCUGAGGCAGCUGACUUGCUGGGAACAUGUUCUCUGAGAAGUAAAAAGUUAAGUACUCUAUUCCAAAUCCUCAGUGGGGCAGUGAGCUUGACAGAACAUCAACUAGAGGAAGCCAAUUAGCGUACUUUUUACCAUGACAACCGUGCAUCUUCCUAAGAAAUCAGUGGGGCUCAUGCACUGAAGGGGGAGAAGGAGAAGAAUGUCAAAGAAAUGUGCUGGCUUUGAAAGACCCCUUUUUGAAAUGAGCCAAUAUUAUUUUCUUGAAAUGUCUAGAAAUGGAGAAUUAGUCCUUUCAAUGACAUGACAUUCGUUUAGCUCAUGCACGCAUAGUUUCUGGAUGGAGGAAAGGAUUAGCAAGAGCAGGAGUCUGAGAAAGUACCCCAAUUAUAUACACAGUUUAUACACCACCUGGAGUGGAUGGCAUUAGGACAGGAAAGAUACAAACACAUGUCUGCAAAGAUCACUCAGUAGAAGAGAUGCAGGCACAUCACUGAAAUUUUAAUACACGAAAUAAAAGACAUUAUCUUCAUUCAUGAAUUACCAUCUUUGCUAAAUAAAUUUCCAUAUCUCAAAAGCUCUCUUCUCCCCUCCCAAUCUAAAACUCAAGUUCUUAUACCUCCAUGAAGCCUUCUUUCCAAAAUCAUCCCAGGUUCCACUGAUCAAUCUUUUUUUCAGACCUUCUGUUAGAGUCCACACCACAUAGAUGAAUAUUGGAUUCUAUAUUAUUUAUAACACUAUUUAGUGUAUUUAUAUCAUAUUUCCCAUUGUGACAGUAAUUUCUUUAGGGACAUAUUUCUUCAGUACCCCAAAGUACUACAUAACAUCGGGUGAGAGUAAUACUGAGUGAAAAUGUACAUGGUGCUUGAUUGUUUAGAGUUCAUGGACCUGUGUCUAAUUUAAGGCUGACUAUUUGACCUUGAAAACUUAGUGCCUCUAUCAUUGCAGAAGGAAAUAAGAAUGCCUUACUACUAUGCUCUCUAUGAAAAAUAAAAGAGGAGACACACCAGUAGGCAGGAUUUUUCUACCAUUAUGGAUUUCCUCUCUGAAAAUCACUAGGAUGAUCAAGAAGAACAGGAUGAGUCAUCAUUUGCAAUCCAGUCCCAGUAGGUAUUUAUAGCCAACUCUAGAAAUAGCAUUCCCACCACUGUAUGCCUUAAUUCUCUUUCCUUCAAGGCUCAGCUUGGCUGUCACUUCAUCUAUGAUUCCUUCCUUGUUUCUCCACCCAGAAGGAUUCCCAUACUCUUCUGAACUACUAGAGCAUUUUAUCUUUCCUCCUUUCAUGACAUAUCACCUCCUGCCUUGUUCUGUAGUUCAUGUCCUUGUUUUCUAUCCCCUAGUAGACACACAGUGACAUAAUAGGUACACAAUACUACAAAUAGAUAAUACCUAUUGAGCUUUAUGUAUAUUUCUCUAUUUAGUACUCAAAGAAAGAGUUGAAAUAAAUACCAUUCACAUCUUAAUUUUACAAAUGGGAAACUGAGGCUCUGAAAGAUUAAGCAAUUUGCUCAGGAUCAUACAACUGAAUAGUGUCAUAUGUAGAAUGUGAUUUGAGAGUCAGUGUCUUAAUAUCUAUGCUAUAAUGACUCAAAAAAUUGUGAAUGAAGGAAGAAAGUAAUGCAAUGAAUUACAAAACAAAACUGUCUUACUUAAUAUAGGCUUUCCAGCCAUCUGUAUUUCUUUAGGCUGUGACUGAUCGAGGGUCUGGUGCUACCUAUUUGUAGAAUAAUCAGACCCAAUAUCAAAAGAGAUCAAAUUUAAGACUUUCAAUCUCACCUGUUAUUCAUGUAAGAAAGAGUCCUAGUUUACAUUUUCAGUCUCUCCCUGAUCUGCAAACUACCCAAAGUUCAUACCUGAAAAUUUUGCAUAAAUGUCCUGAAGAAAACAAUGGAAUUUUGGAACUACUCUCACUCUUUGGGCUGGGUGAUUAAGCUCUGGGCAAUGUGAGCUUACUAAGUUCAGCUAAAGUAACAUUAUCUUUCAUGAAAGUACUGAAAUAGAACCCACUAUCAGUGUUCAACCCUUGAGUCAGCAUAAGAUGGGUCCGGCCUAUACAUAUACCACAGUCAGUCUGUCAAAUAGCAGCAUUCACUGACUCAAUCAAAAGUGGUUAGUAACCAAGAGUACGCCCAUAAAUGUUCAUAUAGAAAAAUUUUUAAAGGUUUUUAAAAAAAAAAAAAACUAUAAUAUUUUUGCCUUUAUCUGAAAUCCUGGCCCUCUAUGGCAGGCCCACUGUAGACCAUGAACAAUAUUCCUCUGAAUGUUCAAUGUGGAUAACUAGGAAAGAAUGCAAAUAUUGUUUCUCCUAAAAAGUUCUGUUAUCUGGCCAUUCCAUCAUAGAGUUAUGAACUAUGGAUGUAGUGUAGUGUUUCAGAGGAUAGAAUCUGAUGUCAGUCAGCAUGGAUUCAAAUCCUGGCACAACUAUCUUCCCCAAGUUACUUAAACACUCUCUGCCUCCAUUUUCUUAUUUCUAAAAUGAGAUAAUAAAAGCACUCACUUUUGGAAUUGUUAGGGUUAUACACACAAAACACUUAUUCCCGGCCACAAACAAGUGUUAUGUAAAUAUUAUUAUUUUAAUAUAUAAUGUUAAUACUCAAGAUCUACCCAGUGCAGUAGUUAUCAACCUGGGACAAUUUUACCUCUUGUUGCCAUUUAGCAAAGUAUGAGGACAUUUUUGAUUGUCACCAAAAAGUCUGGGGGAAGAGAUGCUAUGGCAUCCAGAAGUAAGAGUCCCGGGACAAUGUUCAACAUCCAAUAAUGUACAAAACAGACCCCUACAACAAAGAAUUAUCUGGCCCAAAAUAUUAAUAGUGCUGAGGCUGGGAAAACCUGGCAGAGAGGCAACCUCUAUUUUAAGAGAACUCAAUGGAACAAAACUCCAAAAGACAAAUGCCAAUAAAUAACAGGUGAUAAUUCCAUUUCAAAAGGCUUUCACCAAAGGGUCCUUUCAAUACCAGAACUCAAUACACUUAUGGGUGGCUUAUAGAUUAAUUACAGCUUCCUUCACAUAUUUAUAUAUUUUAUACGCAUAUGCCAAUGGGAAUGUUAUAAUCCAACACUAGUUAAUAUAUUUAAGGAAAACUAAGUCUAGAAAUAUUGUCAAUGAUUUCAUAAGGGAAAUAAGUUUUAAAAUUUUCAGUAUUUUUGGAUUUAGGCCUUCUUAAAGAAGUCGCCUAUUUGACAGGGAAGUGAGAAAGACAAAAACUUAAAGCUAAUAUCUUAUACCUUAAUGCCAAUUGAAGGCAAAGCACAUCUGAACCGAUAACACAAGUUAAAGAGGAAAGAGAGGGUUUGCAUCAACAUCUACUUCUCAGGAAUUGAUUAACUUAUAGAAUGAGGCACAUCUAUAAAGCCAAUUUUAAUUAUCUAGAUAUUGUCUUAUCUGCUCUAUGACUGGUUAUUAACUGAAUGAUUCAGCUAAUCUAGUCAAUGUGCUUGUAUGUGCUUGAGAUCUGUCAAUACAACAUCUGUUGAUCAAUGAAGAGAAAAAUCCACCAAACCACCCUUCUUUGCACUGUCUUGAUCUAGUUCCCUCAUGUCACCUCACCUCUUCCCAGACAAACCCAGAUAGCACAGUUAUAUGGAUUUUUAGGUUUUCUCCAAUUGUUUUGGCUUUAGGUUAAAAAAAAAAAAAACACCUUUGUCUCUAGAAUUUCUACUUACAGAACCACAGCUUGGCCUCUCUUCUUUAAGAUGAAUUGUAUGUCAUAUGUACCUACAGUACGCCCAGCACUGUAUAUUUUUUUUUUAAAAGCUUAAACCUAGAGGUAAAAAAUCAAGCUUAUUCACAUGAAAUAAUUAAAAGAUAAUUUGUGACAGUGUACAGUGAACCCUUGAACAAUGAGAGCAAUUUGUACAGUGGUCUUUGGAAUAAUACAGACAUGAGUUCAAAUCCCAGCACCACUAUUUGUUAGAUACUUAACUUUAAAUAAGUUACUCAACCUUUCUGAACCUCAGUAUUCCCAUCUCAUUGCACAAUUUUUCUUCAUUCUUUUGGAAUAUUCCUUCUGUUAAUGGUUGGUAAUCAUUUAAGCAGUACCUGAGAGCUAUUUUGGGUCUUCAACUGUUGUUAUACAGAUCCCUUAUACGUGAGAUCAUAAAAGAAAAUUUUUUUCUCAAGAGAGAUCAUUCAGGCAACUUCUGUUUAGCGUAUAUAAGGAUUUGAAUGCAACUCUUUAGGUAAUCAUUAACUGCAAGCCAUUGUUUUUAUUGUCAUUGGUGUUUUGUAGCUAUUCAGAAUAGAAGGAGAAGAGGAAAAGGGAAAAUAGGAAGAGGAAAAGAAGAAAAAAAAAGAGCAAAAGAAGGAAAUGGAGAAAGGUGAGGACUUACCUAGGAAAGAAUAGGAAAGGUAAUCCAGGCAAAAAGUACAGCAUAAAGAAAGACACAAAGGCAAGAAUGAGCAGGUUGAACAUAAAUUGACCAGUCUGAUUGUAUCACAAGGAACAUGUUGGGUGUAAUGAGACAUCUUUUGAUGUGCAAGGAGAAUAGCAAUAGUUACCUGCUACCAAGUAACUACUUCCCCUUUAGGGAGUCAAACUUUGAAAGACCGCAUGCCUACUCCUCUGUAUUUCCAACUGUUUUCCUUCUUUGCACCUUUGAAAAAGGCAAAUGCCCACUGAUUUUGGAAACACAUUCAAGACAUAACAGGCUCACCACCAGUCCUGGUCAGUGAAUUGAUUGCCCCAGGUACUUCUCCCUGGACUGGAAGGCAUUGGUUUCCCACUAUUCUAAACACUAUCUGCAAUUUCCAGUCACAGUAGGUUGGCCCAAUCCUCCUUGAAAUGUAUUACGAACAGAUGAGGUUCUUAGCAUCCUGGGUAAAAAGUAAGAGGCUAGAAUGUUUACAAACUGCCAGUCAACCCAUAAUGUCACCUACCUCCAAAUCAGCCAAAGCUGGCAAGGGUAUUUGAGUGAUCUCCCCAUAAUUCAGCAUUUCCUUUGCAUUUCAGGGAUUUUUUUCAAAAAAAAAAAAAUCUAACACAAUUAACUUUGUAUUUUGGUUCAUUUUCCAUUCAAAUUCCACCAAAUAGAAUAAAUUACCCCCAAAAAGGUUUUCAAUAGAUCUACUGCUGAGGGAGAAAGAAAGAAGAGGGAGAGAGGGAGGUGGAGGAGGAGGAAAGAAAGAGAGAAAGGAAGAGAAGCAGAAUGAGGAAGAACAAAUUUCAUACAUGAAUCAAUCUGAGGUUUUAUCUUAGGGAACCAAACAGAUAAUCCAAAAUUAAAUAAUUUCCCUCAGCUUAAAAUCCUACAUAAGCACUAAAUCCAGCACCCUGAGCAGGCUGCACAGAGUGGUUUGCGAAUAACAGAGAGCCACCUCCCAGCACAGGCUGCCCACCUUCAGUGCCUGGUCUGCUCUCAGUGCUUACCGAGCUGCCGAUUUCUUAAGAGAUGGACAGCCCGACUCUUCUGGUUACAGCAAAACUUCAGAUUCAAAUUGCAACAGAAUUGUUACUUGGUAAACUUGUCAGGCAAUGGAGUCUAUCUUUAGUACCUAUACCACCUCUUUAACCCACCUGUGCCUCCCAAAUUGCCACUCCACUGCCACCUGUGCAGUGCUCGCUCCUGUGAUGAAUUAGAAAAGUAUGAGGGCUUUGGGAGUUCCCAUCGCAGAGCAGUGGAAACAGAUCCAAGUAGGAACCAAGAGGUUGCAGGUUCAAUUCAUGGCCUCGCUCAGUGGGUUAAAGAUCCAGCGUUGCUGUGAGCUGUGGUGUAGGUCACAGACGCAGCUUGGAUCUGGCAUUGCUAUGACGUAGGCUGGCAGCUAUAGCUCCAAUUAGACCCCUAGCCUGGGAACCUCCAUAUGCCUCAGGUGUGGCC